GAUGAAGAACGUAGCGAAAUGCGAUACGUAAUGUGAAUUGCAGAAUUCAGUGAAUCAUCGAGUCUUUGAACGCACAUUGCGCCCCCUGGUAUUCCGGGGGGCAUGCCUGUCCGAGCGUCAUUGCUGCCCUCAAGCACGGCUUGUGUGUUGGGCCUUCGUCCUCCUCCCGGGGGACGGGCCCGAAAGGCAGCGGCGGCACCGCGUCCGGUCCUCGAGCGUAUGGGGCUUCGUCACCCGCUCUUGUAGGCCCGGCCGGCGCUUGCCGACACAUCAAUCUUUUUUCCAGGUUGACCUCGGAUCAGGUAGGGAUACCCGCUGAACUUAAGCAUAUCAAUAAGCGGAGGA
rnacentral:misc_RNA from 1 species